UCGGCGCUGAGGGUGCUCGGCCCGAGCCGGCGCUCCCGGCCCGCAAAUCGUGGAAUAGCGGGGAAAGAGACGCCCGGGAUCAUCCAUCUCCGGCUCCUGGUCCUGCACAGACAACAGUGUCACCCUGUGCGUCCCUCAGAGCGUUGUCCGAACGCUCCUGGAGCUCUGGCAGCCUUGGAGCCGUGGCCAUUCCAUGGUGAGCCUGGUCAGUGCCAGACCACCCUCUGCUGGAAGAAACUUUCCCUAAUUUCCAACCUAAACGUGCUCUGACACAGCUGCAGCCGUUCCCUGGGUCCUGUCCCUGGUCACAGCGAGCAGAGCUCCACAGGAACGUGCCGGCACAGCCCGGAAUUCCCUGAACCCCCGUAGGGGAUGUCCCGGCUGGCGCGAUGGAGGUGACGGCUGCGGGCUAGGAAAAAUAGGAAAUUGCGGCCCUGGCAGCGAAUCCAAAGUGUGCGGAAAACCCUGGAUGUCCGGGAUGGAGCCAGGCCGGAGCAUCACGUCCAUGGCUGAGUCUGUCACUGGCGGGGCUUCCCUGUGCCGCUGGAGGUGCCCAGCGGGCGUGGGUAUCCUGGGAAGGCUCUCUUCCCAAAAUAGUACCCCAUGGGGAUUCCUGGCAGGUAUCCCUGGUUCUCAUCCAUACCAAUCCAAGACCUGUUGCUUCUCAGUUAAAGAAAGAACAACAACAAAAAACAAAAAAUCUCCCUCGCCCCGAGGUUAUAAAUAAAAUAUUAACAUCUCUCCUCGUGCUUUUCCUUAUUCUCUUCCCUGUGAACAAGCACUGUUGUUGAUCUUGGAAAAUGGGAAUGCCAUUGUACAACAGGCAUUGUGGACACAAGGUGGCAGGAUUAAAAAGCACAUUUUAGAUACGGUUACAACCCAUAAAUGUAGUGAAAUGUAGUGAAAACUUGUUUCGUGGUGCUCAUGUGGAGCAUGAAUAAAGUGUUGGAAAUAAC